rnacentral:rRNA from 1 species
GACGAACGCUGGCGGCGCGCCUAACACAUGCAAGUCGAACGAGCGAGAGAGAGCUUACUUUCUCAAGCGAGUGGCGAACGGGUGAGUAACGCGUGAGGAACCUGCCUCAAAGAGGGGGACAACAGUUGGAAACGACUGCUAAUACCGCAUAAGCCCACAGGUCGGCAUCGACCAGAGGGAAAGGAGCAAUCCGCUUUGAGAUGGCCUCGCGUCCGAUUAGCUGGUUGGUGAGGUAACGGCCCACCAAGGCGACGAUCGGUAGCCGGACUGAGAGGUUGAACGGCCACAUUGGGACUGAGACACGGCCCAG